rnacentral:lncRNA from 1 species
ACCGAAGACUUCUUGUAAAGCUUUCACGGCGUGCUAAUUAUCUUAUAGAUAGGUUGGCUAGGAUAUCAGAAAGCAGUCCGGAUUUAAAAAAAAAUGCGGAGUAGGCUAGUGAAAAUCCUGAGUAUCGCAGAUCGACAAUAUCGCGUGACGAGAAUGUCCUUAAUACAUUAAUAAUAAGUGCAGAUUGUAAGAUAUGAUGUAUGAAUGCAUUUUCUAAAUUAAUCACUAGUGAACCCUUUGGCUAUAGUAAGCUGUGACAGAGAUAAGAAUGGAAUGUGACUUGUUAUUACCUAGCGGAAAACGGGGUCAGUCGAUCACGUAAACAUGCCACAUCUGUGUGCAUCGAACACAACAUAUACGAUUACGCGAUAUAAUUAUUAACCCAUCGGUCAUGAAAUUAAUAAAAUACUUAACAUAAUAGUACCGGGAAUCUAGAAAGUAGGUACUUUAUGAUAAAUCUUGACUUAAAACCUUAAGCGUGUAUCCUUAUGGAUACCAAUACUUAAAUACUUAAAUAAAACACGUGUCACUUGAUCAAACCAUGGUUUAUUGGAUCCACCUUUUACUUAAUUGAAAAAAAAAAAAUUAUAGUGAAUACCUAAACACAACGAUAAGGUGUAUAGGUAAGUUUUGAACAAGUAGUAUUAAAUUUUAUGAGCCCAACUACUUAAAACGUGUUGGUACUCGUCUUUAAUUAUGACGUUGGCCACGUCUUAUUUGUAAGAUUAGUAGGUAAGAAUAAAUACUUUAAUACAUUAAAUUGUUAGGUAGAAAAUAUAGUAUUCAGGCGGGUGGUAUUGCAUGUUCACUGUCUGCCAAACAUAAUUGUCGUUUAACGUAUAUUUAGCAAUAAAGUUAGUACAUAGUAAAUAUUUACGCAUGAGAAAAUAGUCUUGCCUAAAUGCCUAUGCAUAAUAAUAUUAAAUUAUUAACAAUGUACAUACAAAUAUAGAUAUAUGAGAAAAAAGUUUAUUCGCUACGAAAAACUUUUUAACCCAACUGGAACGGAUGUGUAACAUAAAUAUUUAACAUAAAAUAAAAAAUUGUGUUUUUAAUAAAUUAAUUAUAAAUAAGUCACUAAUUUAACUUCAGCGCCCUCUCGGGAUAAAAUAUCGAACUAACAAGCCCGCUCAAGGCAUCCACUCGCGCGCACAUACGUGUUAGCCAAGUAGAUAAGGAGUUAGUUACAAAAACAUCCGCAGACGAUAGCUGGCGCGCGCGUCAGAGUCCGACGUUCUUUUCUAAUACGAACAGCGCCUGGGAAACAAGACUGAAAAUUGAUUUUUAUAAAAUGUGGUUCACCGGAGGUCCCACCUUGCAGCCUGGGCGGUUAAAAUGAAUAGUCGUAACAUAUUAACAUAAAAAAACCUGGAGAAAGCACUACUUUGAAGAAAAUUAAUUCCCAAUACUGGGUCCUUGUGUCGCUAUGAAAUCCUGAUCAAUUGCACGAGAGAAUGCCAUAGCUGAUGGGAAAUGAACCUCGGACCGCAUCCUGUGUUUGAGCUUGCUUUCCACCUCACACCUUAACCCUGGGACCUGCUUCCUGAAGGCAUCAGCGUCAGCGUACAGGAUUCCGUAUGUGUAAUUAAAAAGUGAUUGCAAGGUUAGUUAAGCUUAAUUUGAACUUUAUCUUAACAUCAGUGGACAAUCUUCAAAGAGUGACUGUGACGUAGUAUAUCCAGAAUUAAAAGGCUUUCUCCAGCAUA